AUUGAACGCUGGCGGCAGGCUUAACACAUGCAAGUCGAACGAGUGGCGGACGGGUGAGUAAUGCUUGGGAAUCUAGCUUAUGGAGGGGGAUAACUACGGGAAACUGUAGCUAAUACCGCUUACCAGAGGCUGAGUCCAAGUGGGAUUAGGUAGUGGGUGAGGUAAAGGCUCACCAAGCCGACGAUCUCUAGCUGGUCUGAGAGGAUGAUCAGCAACACUGGGACUGAGACACGGCCCAGACUCCUACGUGAGGCAGCAGUGGGGAAUAUUGCACAAUGGGCGCAAGCCUGAUGCAGCCAUGCCGCGUGUAUGAAGAAGGCCUUCGGGUUGUAAAGUACUUUCAGUCGGGAGGCGUUACCGACAGAAGAAGCACCGGCUAACUCCGUGCCAGCAGCCGCGGUAAUUC
rnacentral:rRNA from 1 species